AGUGAACGCUGGCGGUAGGCCUAACACAUGCAAGUCGAACGGCAGCACAGUAAGAGCUUGCUCUUACGGGUGGCGAGUGGCGGACGGGUGGGGAAUACAUCGGAAUCUACUUUUUCGUGGGGGAGAACGUAGGGAAACUUACGCUAAUACCUCAUACGACCUACGGGUGAAAGCAGGGGAUCUUCGGACCUUGCGCGAUUGAAUGAGCCGAUGUCGGAUUAGCUGGUUGGCGGGGUAAAGGCCCACCAAGGCGACGAUCCGUAGCUGGUCUGAGAGGAUGAUCAGACACACUGGAACUGAGACACGGUCCAGACUACUACGGGAGGCAGCAGUGGGGAAUAUUGGACAAUGGGCGCAAGCCUGAUCCAGCCAUACCGCGUGGGUGAAGAAGGCCUUCGGGUUGUAAAGCCCUUUUGUUGGGAAAGAAAAGCAGCAGGUUAAUACCCCGCUGUUCUGACGGUACCCAAAGAAUAAGCACCGGCUAACUUCGUG
rnacentral:rRNA from 1 species